UACGAAGGGUGCAAGCGUUAAUCGGAAUUACUGGGCGUAAAGGGUGCGUAGGCGGUUGUUUAAGUCUGUCGUGAAAUCCCCGGGCUCAACCUGGGAAUGGCGAUGGAUACUGGGCAGCUAGAGUGUGUCAGAGGAUGGUGGAAUUUCCGGUGGAGCGGUGAAAUGCAUUGAGAUCGGAAAGAACACCAACGGCGAAAGCACUCUGCUGGGCCGACACUGACACUGAGAGACGAAAGCUAGGGGAGCAAAUGGG
rnacentral:rRNA from 1 species